rnacentral:rRNA from 1 species
UACGUAGGGUGCGAGCGUUGUCCGGAAUUAUUGGGCGUAAAGGGCUCGUAGGCGGUCUGUUGCGUCGGGAGUGAAAACUCAGGGCUUAACCCUGAGCCUGCUUCCGAUACGGGCAGACUAGAGGUAUGCAGGGGAGAACGGAAGUUCCUGGUGUAGCGGUGAAAUGCGCAGAUAUCAGGAGGAACACCGGUGGCGAAGGCGGUUCUCUGGGCAUUACCUGACGCUGAGGAGCGAAAGUGUGGGAGCGAACAGG